CAAGGAUUUCCCGGGAGAGAUAGCCGACUACCCGUGUUAAACAUUGGCAAUUUGAGAUGUUUUAAGCGAAGAAGCAUAUUUCAGUGUAUUGUGUCCACUAUAUUUCUUUCCCAAGCAACAAUGAAUUCACAGUAGGGAAUGAGAAUCCAUCAGCUGACUUGCUACAUUAUCAACAUUCAGUAUUGAGGACAAAUGACUUGACAAAGGUGCAAUUACAUUUGUUUUUAUUCUAUCAGAUAAUUAAUUUGUUUGCUUUUUCAAUUUUAUAGUGUAUUUAUAUAUUGUAACAACUCUAAGAAAUUCACAUUUACACAAUGCAUUUUACACUAAUAGGUAAGUACAUGUAACAUUCAGCUUUGGGGGGGUCUGAAAUUUCUGUGGGGAUUUAUUAUAUCUUGGACAUUACCAUAGAGAAUCACAGUGAAUCCUCCUCAUACAUGGCAUGUCUGUCCACAACCUCUGGACAAACUGAACAUGUAAAAACAUACUGGUCAUGCUCAUCACAUAUUGCCACUUUUGCACUGUAGGUAGAGUAUAUUGUGGUCGGUAAAAUAGGACCACAGCAGAUGGCAUGUACGUAGAUGAUGCUAUAUGGAUUUCAACAACAUUAGUAGUACGUUUUAACCUAUGGCCUAUACUUCCUGAAACCUUCAUUAACACUCAAAUGAUGAAACAAAACACAGAUCAUACAACAAGUCAGAAUACAAACGGAAGAAGAAGAAGAAGUGUUCUGAACAGAACUCAAAGACACCUGACUCUGUACACAGGCACUUGUAUAGCACAGUCUUUGAGUGUGCCUAUUACAUCUAAUAAGUGAUAAAACAAGAAACCGUUUACAAAAAAAUACUGAUUUCAAAAAAGAGAAUAAUAUUCAUAACAAAAACAAUAGAAGAACAUUGAAUGUUUUGCAUAUUUAUGUCUGUAACGUUAUUCAGCUUUACAUUCUUAUAUUAUCGCCCUUCACUCUACCAGUGUCCCCUGCUGUGGAUGAACAGUACAGAUUGAGUCAUACUGUAGAUUCUAUAUUGACACCUCUAUUCACCUGUGAGACAGCACAGUGUUAGAUUGGGCCCGUGGGGCCGCCAGCCACAGUGAAAGGUUCAGUUGUUCACCAGUCGUUGAUGACAGUCCCUCCUGUCAGUCAGUGGUAUUAUGCCAAUCUGUUGGUCCACUGAGUCCUACUGCACUUCUAUUGUGGAGCAAUAUGAAUCACACUGCUGUGAAUAAUAUUGUGUGAAACACUGUGUGUGAAGCCACUGGAUAUGUCACAAGGAGGCCCCCAGGGGGAAUAUAGUGUGGGUCUGUUUUCUAUUCAAAAGCCUCAAAACUCACUACUAUGAGAGCGUCUUCCCUGCUGUAUCUUUGCUAUGCCAGAUUAUCUCUCUCUCUCUCACAACACACAAAAGUAUCUCUGCUAAUAUCUCUACUUUGCUGUCUACCUACAUCUAAAUUCAAGCACCAAACCACACCAAAGGGACCCUGAGUAAUCACAUGUCCCUGGGAAUCAAACCUGGACUUCAAAGCAGUACAGUUACAGUAAGCGUAGCUACAUUGCUAACAUCUAAUACCUACUGCGUGUUCAGUAUGCUGCGUGCCAAUAUAGAUACAUACAAAAGUGAUCCAAGGCAACACAUACUUACAGUUUAUCAUCAGAGAGAGUGUGUGGGGGUGUAUAAGUGCUUCAGAUCACUAUUGUGAUACAGUAAAAUGUCACUGCUCUCUGACACACGAGAGGUGAGUAAUGGUAAUGUCACAUUGUUGCCACUUUAAAAGCGUUCUGUAUGCCUCUGUGCAGUACAUAACAGAGGGAUUCAGAUGAGAGCCAGCUGACUGAGUGAAGCUAAAUGAACCUGAAACCCUGAGGUAAUUAUACCUGCCUGUCAGGAAUGUCUCCCUAAUGGCCUGUGUUUACACCCUUACCCCUACCAUACCAUACCGCAGCAGACACAUUUGCGCCACGGCACACUCUUUAGCACACACACAUAUCUGCACGUGAGUGUGUGUGUGCAAGUGCUUGUGUUUAUUUCAGUGAGACGGAAGUCUCUGACGAGUGUCCCAUGUCUCCACUCAUUAGCAAGUACAAUAUAAUGGAUAAUUAAGGGGAGUCUUGAGUAUAGCCUACUAUACAGUGUUUGUAUAUAAACUGUAUACUAUUUCUAGACAACUCUCGUCAGGCUACCAUGGAACAGCCUCGAAUACUGAUACUGCAGAGCCUCUUUCUGAUGAUGUCACAGUUCCAUUUUUGGCAGUUGGACAUCACAUUACGCGUCAGGUCAAUGAGUCAGCAAUGUUCAACAGUCCAAAAUUGCUCCUCACAUUGCAUAUCACAGCUCCUGGGGUAAUGGAGCUGCACUGUUGAGGAGGCCUUGUAACCUAAACCACUAAGAGAGGCGCAUGUGCCACAAACAGACAUGAGAGAAACAUCUAGAAUCUGUUACAUUCAAAGCAUGAAUCAUUCCAACAGAAUCCUGGAGUCCAUGUUGGAUGGAGAAAAGGAGUCAAGUGUGUCAGAAAACAGAGGAGGGAUGGUGUAUCAUGUUGCGGUGACGGAAUGAUGGAAUGAUCCACAGCCAAUGAGAAUAGGAGAGCAGUAAUCAGAGGCAACAGUAUAACAACAACACAAAUGUGUCCGUCCCUGUACACCUUAGGAAUGUCUGUCUGUGGUAAAGAAAAAGGAUAGGAGAUUUUGGAAUGGGCGACUAAUGCUGCAUUUAGACGAGGGACGCAGAAACCAUCAUACAAGAAGAAAGCAAGCCAGCACGACGGUAUGUGUUGCUAUGGUGAUUUCGGUAAACAAACAAGUGCAAAUCAACAUCCGGUAGAAAACAACGCUACGACAGACAACAAAAGUUUAAAUAUUUUAACUCUGGUGGCAUGUCCCGUCUACUGUGACCUCAACGGCAUUUACCGUCGUGCUCUCAUUGAAAACAAUGACAUCCGGACGCCGUCUACCUCGUACCAUCUAAACGCAGCAUAACCGUUCCCCCACUGAGUUGUGUUGAAUAGAUAACAGUGGGAUACUAUCAGACAGGAUCCCAUGGAGGAUUUACAACAGGCUGCUGCUGAGGUCUGAGAAGACAGUCUGGGGGUGUGACGGAGAGACUACUGCAGGACUUGCCCUGAGAACACACUAGGAUAGGAUAGGUACAGAUGGAAAGAGGGACAAAUAGUUACAUGCUGAGAGAGAGAGAGUACAGACAGGGGGAGAGAGGGGACAGAGAGUUUAUCUACCUCUGAGGCACAAACAUUUGAUAAUGUGAGUGAGUAGGGGGGAAUCGGGGGGUGGAUGAAUAAUAAUUUUAGCAAAUGGUCAAAGGAAGUUGGCAGUGAACUUAUGGGGACACAGGAUGAAACUCCUUCAUGGGAUAACAUACUAAUACACUUUUCAUAAUGAUUGGUCAACACCAGCUGACAGAAAAGACGGAGACCAGGAUAUCUAACACAGUGAUGCUUCUUGGAUUAUGGGUGGUAGUGAUAUUGCGACUUUAGUGACUUGAGGCAGAGGGUUGGUGUUAGGGUUGGUGUUAGGGGUUGGUGUUAGGGUUGGUGUUUGGCGUUGGUGUUAGGGUUGGUGUUUGGCGUUGCUGUUAGGGUUGGUACUGGCGGAGAGGUUUAGUGUUCAAAGACACACUGGCAGAGUUGAGUUCUGUGUAGAGAUACUGGGUCAGCCUCUGAUGCUCCAGUCUGUCUAAUAAGGGUCCAUACUGGGACAAGAGGCCAGUCAGAAACCAGUGGCCACACUUGGUGAAAAGGGGCGAUAAUGUCGUCAACUUUCUUGUUGUAUCCAAGAAGCCCACUCAGUCUGUACUCUUAUACUGUAUGUCCGUUCCCACAUCAAGGUUUCCAUGGCAACCCCACUUCCCCCUCUCCUCCUUUUCCUCCUUCCUGUCAGCGGCUUCUCCUCUUCCUCAGACCUGGGGGGGAGGUGAGUCAGGUCCCCCAUCCACCCUCACCACU
ensembl:lncRNA